GUGGUUUUCUUUCACUUAGGGUAUGUGUGUUUAUUCCUGAUGUCUUUGUAAACACAGAGCUGAGGAUGGUGAUCCAUCUUCAUGAAAUUCACUAGGCGCAGGCUUCACUGUACUUAAACAGAGUGCCAAAGCUGACAUCACCUUCCUUGUUCUCACAGGGCUCCAGCUGGGUGAACUAUGGGGCAUUUGCCCGGAGUUCAUGCUCAGCAUCAGGGUCAAAGCAAAGGGAACUCUGACAAUGAUUCCAUUGUGAACUUGUUCUGGGAAUGCCAUGAUGAUUCUCUAUCAUGUUCCUCGUACACUGCACCAGCACCACUGCUUCCCUUCCCAGUGAGAACCCGAUCAAGCUUUAUCAUGCAGCCCAGAAGGGUGGGGGAAAGAAAAAGAAUUAGGAGAAAAUGUUGUAAAAGUAAUGAGAUAAUAUGAGAAUGUGCUUUGGGAACUGCGAAUCUGGAGUCACUGGUCCAUGAGGAAUCUAGGAUAAGAAGAAGGAAGCUGUGAAGAAUGGUUGGCUAACAGUGCUGGCAAGGAAUUCAGAUCAACAUACCUCUCAAAAGAAUGGAAGUCUCUUAAACUCAGGCUGAAAUGUGACAAAAUAGUUGGACUGAAACAGUUACUUUGGCCCAUGAGAUGAUCUUGAGAUUGGAGGUCACAUAAAUAGUAGAGCAGCAAGAGAUAGAAUUCAUAUGCUUGAAACAUUCAUGGGAUCCAGCCCUAUGCAAGUCCUAGCCUGCAUAACUUCAGACUUUUAUGUAAGAGAGAACUAAGCAUACCUCUUCUGCAAGUAACAGUCAUUAGGUGCCUCAGCAACUCAAAAGGAACCUCACCCUAUAUACUCCUGCAUGGUCCCUGUUGAGCACACACGAGCAAACAAUGACCACCUUCUUCUUAU
rnacentral:lncRNA from 1 species